UUUAGGGAGACCCAAAUCAAGUAAAAAGAACCAAGUAAAAAGUAAAAAGAAAGAGAAAAAAUCUUUUGACUUUUGACUUUUGACUUUUGACUUGAUGUAUCCCGAGGUCGGUCGAGGAAAAGUUGUUGGCUUUCAAACUAUCAUUGGUUCGAUCCAAGUCGCACAAAAACAACCGAACAACAAAGUACGGUUGUCAGUGUGGAAACAGUCAAAUCGAUUGUGACACUCCAAAAUUGCGACUGCAAGUAUUGCGAAAAAGCAAUAAUUGAUUGGAGAAAUUGCUUCAGCAAUCUUGCUUGAAAUAGCAAGACUGCUGGGUGUAAUCCAGCCAGAACCUUGAAAACUGCAUAGUAACGCGAAGCAGGUAGACACAGACAUGACAUGAUUGCAUGAAACAUGAAAGUGUUUGCUUUAUAGAUAUCACCAAUAGUGAAGU
rnacentral:misc_RNA from 2 species